rnacentral:lncRNA from 1 species
GAAAAAUAUAUUAAUAUAACAACCAGAUGGAAAAACUAAUAAUCCAUGUGCAACAUUUUCAGCAGUUAGAUGACAGUGCAUCUUGAUGAACUCCAAACUAAAAGUGUAUAGGGCAAACCACCUACAGUAACAAGACCUGUAGUUACUGGAACCUGUUCAAAUGAAAUAAAAGGAAAGGAACAGGAAGGAAUGGAUCUGAGAAAAAAGGUAUAAUGGAAACCUGAACCAUGGAAGAAGACUUAAGACACAUUAAAUACACAAAAUCUGUAUGAGUAACUUACAGUAUCUAGGAAUAUACUUUUGUGUGAAAAAAUUGUAAAGAAACAAAUGGAAGUGAUUGCAUGUAGAUGACUAUACACUGGAAGGAAAUUGGAGGUAAAAUUGCUGCAGGGCUUGAAGAACAUCGGGGAUAAUGGGAAAUGUAUAUUUCUUGACUUGGGUAGUUCAAAGAGGGUUUGUUUUGAAAAUAAUGAAAUGUGAUACAAAUUUGUUUCAUUUGUUUUUCUGUAGAUGUUUUAUAGUAAUGUUUUAAAAUAACAAUCAUUUGCUCUCUGAUAGAUUAAUAAAAAUGAAAUUUAUAGAAAUGAGUAUUUUCUUGAUACAACUCAACUCUAAAUUUUACAAGAGUGAAAUAAUAAGUCAUACAAUGUUAAAAGGCAUGUGCAGUGUUAUAUAGAUGCCUAUGAGCAGAUGUAAAACUUGCUUCCA